rnacentral:rRNA from 1 species
ACGAACGCUGGCGGCAGGCCUAACACAUGCAAGUCGAACGCACCUUCGGGUGAGUGGCGCACGGGUGAGUAACACGUGGGAAUCUACCCAGCAGUACGGAAUAACGUCGGGAAACUGACGCUAAUACCGAAUACGCCCUUCGGGGGAAAGAUUUAUCGCUGUUGGAUGAGCCCGCGUCCGAUUAGGUAGUUGGUGAGGUAACGGCUCACCAAGCCUUCGAUCGGUAGCUGGUCUGAGAGGAUGAUCAGCCACACUGGGACUGAGACACGGCCCAGACUCCUACGGGAGGCAGCAGUGGGGAAUAUUGGACAAUGGGCGCAAGCCUGAUCCAGCCAUGCCGCGUGAGUGAUGAAGGCCUUCGGGUUGUAAAGCUCUUUCGCACGCGACGAUGAUGACGGUAGCGUGAGAAGAAGCCCCGGCUAACUUCGU